UCGUGAACUUCUAAAUUUUUACUUUUCCCUCCAAAAACUUCAAACACUAAAUUGUUAAAAAAACUUACUGUACAGUUUCCUCCGCCUUUCCACUCUCACGGAAACAUAAGUUAUUUUCCCUUAAGUCCUUCCCCUAUCCGAUUUCCCCCAUCUGAUUUCUCUCUCAUCUCUCGUUCUCGACCUCCACAUUCUACAUCUCCCUUGGGAGUCUGUCAAAUUCGCGAUGCCCAGUUGAAGAUUCUUGAGCGUCGCCGGCAAUUCGAAUCAAGGUAAAACUCAUUUCUUCCUCGAUCUAGGGUUGAUGAUGAGGAUUACGGGGUCGAAGAGGGUAAUAGAAUUUCUAAAGAAUCAUGCAAAGGGGUUUCUCUUUAGAUCUCCUGAGUCGACUUUCUUUAAAAAUUCUGUGAUUGAUGCGACUUCGGGGAUUAGGGUUGAUGAGAGUUCAAGGUGAACAAUGAGUCAAUUGGAGGAGAUCAAAUGUAAAUACCUCACUUCUUAGACGGCACACACUUGUUAAAUCAGGUGAACAAUGAACCAAUGGAGGAGAUCAAACAUGGAUGUCCCAUUAUAUACGCUAUUUGUGUCCGAAUCUAGUUAGUUAUAUAUUGUAUUAUGCUGCUUGUAUGCAGUAUGUAGAAGGAAAUUAGGGAUGUAUAUGCUAGAAACAUUUUGUGGUACAUUAAACAAUUAUGUAGUUUAGUUUGAUUUAAUAAAUUUCAUUUAUAUUAGUAGGAACUUA